rnacentral:lncRNA from 1 species
GUGCUCUGAGAGUUAGGUGUGACUGAUAUGUACUCCAGGUACACCUAUUUGGGUUAUGAUAAUUAGGCUUUAUGGAGAGUUUUGUUUACCGUCCCUACUUUGACUUUUGAGACCUUUCUUCACAUUUACGAGGACCUAUUUGGUUUUGCAUGCCUUGGGAGUAGCUGAGCGCUGUGGAUCUCUGCAUUCUUUGUUUUUACUGCAUUUGUCUUUUCUUUCUGAAAUUGUUUUUGCAUUAAAGUUUCAAAUACAUAAACAUUGAUUAUUAUAAGUAUGCUUUGAUAAUGACUGAAAUCAUUGUGAAGACUUCUUUUCAAAUCCAGAUUGGUAGGAAGGUGGCCUGGAGCAGUGGCCGAAUUAAUUGGGUCAGUGGUCAAAAG